rnacentral:rRNA from 1 species
GAUGAACGCUGGCGGCGUGCCUAAUACAUGCAAGUCGAGCGAACGGACGAGAAGCUUGCUUUUCUGAUGUUAGCGGCGGACGGGUGAGUAACACGUGGAUAACCUACCUAUAAGACUGGGAUAACUUCGGGAAACCGGAGCUAAUACCGGAUAAUAUUUUGAACCGCAUGGUUCAAAAGUGAAAGACGGUCUUGCUGUCACUUAUAGAUGGAUCCGCGCUGCAUUAGCUAGUUGGUAAGGUAACGGCUUACCAAGGCAACGAUGCAUAGCCGACCUGAGAGGGUGAUCGGCCACACUGGAACUGAGACACGGUCCAGACUCCUACGGGAGGCAGCAGUAGGGAAUCUUCCGCAAUGGGCGAAAGCCUGCCGGAGCAACGCCGCGUGAGUGAUGAAGGUCUUCGGAUCGUAAAACUCUGUUAUUAGGGAAGACCAUAUGUGUAAGUAACUGUGCACAUCUUGACGGUACCUAAUCAGAAAGCCACGGCUAACUACGUG